GGGUGAGGCAGUUGGCGCCUUUUUUGACCCGCGCCAGUGCUGUCGGGAUUCAGCGGCGCUGGCGCUAUUUCCACUGCUUUCCCCUGAGCCUUUUGGCCUCAUCUGCAUGGAGAGGCUCUCGAAGUGCCAUACAGGUGCCAGGGUGAUGCUGCCAUGUUUGCUUAUGUGAUGGUGUCCAAGCCACCCUUGCCAUGCCACCCAGCUCUCCUUGCAAAACAGCGUGAGGCGCACGUGUGUUGCCAUGCACGGUGAUGUUUCCAACACAAAUGCCCCUUGCACAGUUGUCGUCAGUGAGGCACUUGGCGCGUGUGCAGCUCUUUGACUAGGUGAUACCCCAUCACCACACCUGUGAAGGUUGCUAUAAUGCAAAACCGUCCACUCGGGAGCUGCUGCAUGGUUAUUUUUUAGCUCAGGGUGUCCCCCCAUAACAUGCUGUGGUUCCCCUCUGCCCUGCUUUCUUUUCUCUGUCAAUUAUUAUUCUAAAAAGAGGUGCCCAGGGAAAGGCGGUGCUGUAGGAUUGGCAUUUAGACCUGCUGGAGUGCCCCAGGGAAAGAAAAACAGCACCGCAAUGCUACCUGAUGAAGUGACAGUAGGCUUCACUGGUGAAAGUGUUGGGCAAAAGAGCACAAAAUAGAUGAACAGAAAGUUUAAAGCUGUACGGUGAGACCAGAGAUUUCUUAAGACUGGUGCAAGUGUAUCUUAGCCCCAGUAGGUAAGAAGGAAAACAUCCACGACUGCAGAAGUUUCGGAGAAAGGAAGCUCACGGAAUGAAGACGGGAUGGAACGAAGCUCAUGGAAUGAGACUCCGGAACAUGUUGCUGCUACGAUUGGUUGAACCUUCACUCAGACAAGAAUAGUUUGCCUUUAAGAAAGGGUUCACUCUACAACUGCUGGAGGAAGGAAUGCACUUCAGGUAUGCUUUUAUCAAAGAACUGUCUGCUUCCCAAAGUAUGAAGGGAUGGCUUCUUCCCCAAGAUCCUGCAUUUGGAGAUGGCAAUAGGCUACCAUUGGUCUUCCACAAAGGCUCUGAGGGUGCCUGUACACAAGCCUAGAGGCUGCUCUGAGGCACUAUAAUUACAGCAUGUAUUUAUGCAUCAGCAUCCCAACACUAAAAAAUGGUGGUGGAGGCACUUUAUCUAAUGCUCAUUCGACAAGCUUUAUCUAAAGUGCCCAUGCCACCAUUUUGAAGUACAGGGAUGCUGAUAAAUGAAUGCUCUGGGUGCUUUAUUUAGAGUGACUCUUGGAGCCUCCAUAAUGAAAGCAUGCCCCCCGCCAUGCCUGCUCCCAGGGCACAUAUGAAAAUACCCUCGGAUAUUGAAGAGAAUCUUACCAUUUGGAAUCAAGAAGAGAAAGAGAAGAAGAUUAGUAAAAGGAACUGCUGCUAAGUCCAUCAAUGACAUGCUGAAUAUGAAGGCUUUUACAGGUAUUCAUAAUGUGUACUCUGCUUCUUAAAGAAAGAAAUAGCUCAAGAGUCACCAGACAAUUCAAAUGGCCUAAUGACUGCCUGAGUGCCAAUUAAUAGUCUUUAUUGUAAUUAAAUUGUUUGAUGUAAGAGAACUUAAUACAUGCAAAAAAAAAGGAACACACAGUGAAAACAAGAACACGACAGGCAUGCAUACUGUAUAAACAGAAAAUGUUUAAAGAUCAAGAUCAUCUUUGGGUCCAGUUUCUCAUAGUAUAUAAGUUGUCAUUUUUAAGCUACAUAGAAAAUGAGAAUGAAACAACAGAUUGGUUUAUUCUACUCUACCUGAGCAACAAACAGAUUACAAUUAGGGUAGCUUCUAUUUUCCUUUUUGCGUCUAAACAACACUUAGCUGCAGGGAGCAAUUCUACCCUGUAGUAGAGAUAUGUAAGUGUAUGCAUGUAGUUUGAGCAUUUACAUGGCUAUGUACACAUGCCCAUUCUAGACAUGUAUGAGCAUCCAAGUUCAGAAAAUGUAUACAAGCAGAAACCCAGGGUUCCUCAGGAGGACAACCCUCCUGUGUUUUAUUUCCAAUAGCUGGAUGGUUAGGGCACUUAACCUAGGAAGCUGGAUUCUAGGCCUCCCUUACUCUGAUUCCCCAGAACAUUGCUUGAACCACUAUGCCACAAGCCAGGUAUUACCCAGUGGCAUCUCUGACAAUCCCUUGAAGUUGACUUUCAGGACAGCUGAGGGAGGUAUGUGGAACCUGGGUAUGUGUUUUAGUGAGAGAUGCUAGCUUGGAAGGGCACAGGUCCCUGUUUCUAGCCUUAACAUUUGUUCUUGAUUGGCUAAAAAUUUCAAUUUGCAUGAAUGACCCUUUAUUCAAUAACUAUUAAAUGCAAGGGACAGUGUCUCAGCUUCAGAAGGAGUCUGGAUAAUGUAGAGCACAUGUGUGGUGGUUAGAAUGCUGUUCUGGGAAGUCAAGAGAGAUAUAGGUUCAGACUCCUCUGAGAGAGGGGCAGAGAGGGAGGACUGAUAGCCCUGCUUCUCGGGUGCCCUAACCUCUCAGGCAAGUGCCCUAACUUGCUGCAAUUUUUCAGGACUUAUGCUCAGGUAUAUGCACACAUCCAUAUGCUUACACAUCCACAGCAUAAAGUGAGGGACAAAAACAGCCAGGUAGACAUCUAGAAGAGUGACACUAGGAUGCACAAAGGGAGACAGAAUUCUACCCAUGUGUAAUGAUUGCUUCUUGGCGUUUUGGCUAAGAUUCAGCAUCUGUUCUUAUCACUUUAGUGUCCCAUAUUUUCAUUGUCAGCCACUUGGGAACAUAGGACUGGAAGGGGCCUCUCUGGAUAUUGGGGGCAUGUCCAGACGAGCCUGCACGUACAUCUUGCAGCAUCUCAAACCCCAAGCAGAAGGCUGGAGACGAGUGGGGGAAUGAGCAGUAGGAUGGAGACAAGCAGGAUAAUGCUUCCAGCCUCCUGCUUGUUCCCCUGGAGACGAGCAGGAGGCUGGAGACAAGCCCCUGGAAAUAAGAUGAAGACUUCCCCUGCUCUCCAGCCUCGUUCUCUACUAGUGCCGGUGAAUGUGUGUGUGGGUGGGGCUGGGAGAGCAAGUGAGUGGUGCGGGGAAUGAUGGGGGGGGCACAGGGGGAGCAAGCCUCCUGCUUGUUCUCCUAUUCUCUCCAGUCCCCUGCUUGUUCUGCUUCUCUCCAGCCUCCACACUUUCAUACAGAGGACCCACACUUCCUAAGCAGCCUCCACACCCACAGUCCUGCCACACCUACCCACACACUGACUCGCAUCCCCCCACUUCUCACCCCCUACUGAAAACCCCCUAUCCCCCCCAUCACACACCCACAAUGUCAUAAGGAAACCAAAAGCAAACAUUAAAACAUAGAUAUUUAGGAUUUAUUUUAUUAUGAUACUAGAGACACUAGUUGGACUUCCAAAUUUCUUUAACAGUGUAAAUAAAGCAAUAAAACAUUG